GCCCCCAUCCCUAAAUGGGGCCCCCUGCUGAGCUGCCCAGACAGAUGUAGAUGAGAGCUGGUGGCCGCACCUGAGAGGAGCACAGACAGCACAGCAAGGAGCGCUGGUCCCUGGUGUCCCGCCUCCACAGCCGCCAGGCAGACCUGGCCCCGCCCCCUUCCUCUCUCUCUCAGCUGAGGCCCUGCACUGUGACGGUAAUGGCCUCCUCUGCUCUGGACCUGCAAUGACGUCACCGUGGUCUAAAACGUGUUCUGCAGAAAGAAAAACGUGUUCUUUAGGUUCUGCAGAAAGAAGAAAGAAGAGAAUACCGGUUGAGCGAUCAAUUGGAUGAGAUUUGAUGUCCACUUAAAUCUCUGCUUGCUGUCAGUAAAGGAUAUUCUCUGUGCCUGGCCGCUGGUCCUCCUCGCACAGCUUGAGGGGCCCCUCUGUGUUUGCGCCCACAUCAGAGAGAAUGAAGACAUGAAGCAGGAAUGCCUGACAUAUGGCUUGUUUUGUUCGCUCUGACAUUUUUCGGCAGUGUGUCCAGCCAUGGAGCAAGAAUUGGACUCGGUAUAAUUAGUGCAAAGAAAAGCGCAAUGUUACAUCCAAUGGAUUGAAUGACACUCGACCUUUAACAGAUCGGCCACAUUCCUUCCACAUUAGAGCAUUCAAUGGGUCUCUCAUGGACACAGUCCCACAAAGGACUCCGGGCUGGCAGGCACACGACCCACCGGGACCUUGUACACACAUGUCCUCCACUGUUCGCACGGGGGCUACUUUGACCCACAUUCUCUGCUGUGGAUUGUGUUGGAUGGUGCAAUUCUGUGCCAAGCCUUUCUGAUCUCACAGCUGAGGGUUUGUUACAAUGUGUCAGCCUUACCUAAACUUACCCACAUGAAAAAUUCCAUAUGGCUUCAAGAUGGUCUCAUUUACAUCAGAAUGGGCUCUUUAAAGGGGUAUUCCCAUCUUGUUCAUCCUGUUUGGUUCAAUUCUAUACCCCCCAUUGAGCCUUUCUCUAAAU